AUCCUCCUGUGUGUGUCACAUCAAGAGCUCAAGAACUCUUCCAUUCUCCCAGGAUGUUGUAGCUGGAGACUAAGGACAGCUUUGCACUCGUGAGACAACUCUGGGAUCUGACUCCAGGACCACCUGCACACCUAAGAAUGGAUUAAAUUACAACACAGACACAUCCAUACAAAGCGGCUGCUCUUGGAAGAUGUGUGUGCAUAUACCUGUCCUGUCUCUCCUUUGCACCCUUCAUGGUUUCACACCAGCCCUGCAGCUAUAGAGUCUCCAUUGGACUGUGAGCAUCGGGAAAGCUCUCUGGACCAGCAUGUGCACUUCACCUGAUGCUUAUGGAAGACACACAGCACACACAGGAAAACACCUCCUCCAGGAUUGCUCUAGGCCUCAGAGGAAUUGGCCAGAGCUUCGAAGCAGUGCGGGCAGGGCCUUCCUGACAUUGUGGCAUGACUUCUGCUUGCUGCCUUCUCCCAUAAAACAGUGAUUCCUCCGUAGAAAGCACUCAGCAGUGGGACUUGGCAAAGCCUGGAAUUCUUACCUGGAAAAGCAUUUCUUCAUCUGGAUUUCUGAUGCCACCUACCUCCAUGAAAUGCCUUCUGUAAGAAAAGCCUCAUUGUGUCCACAAGCUGGAGCUGAACACU
ensembl:lincRNA Gm13387 predicted gene 13387